GACGAACGCUGGCGGCGUGCCUAAUACAUGCAAGUAGAACGCUGAAGGAGGAGCUUGCUUCUCUGGACGAGUUGCGAACGGGUGAGUAACGCGUAGGUAACCUGCCUGGUAGCGGGGGAUAACUAUUGGAAACGAUAGCUAAUACCGCAUAAGAGUAGAUGUUGCAUGACAUUUGCUUAAAAGGUGCAAUUGCAUCACUACCAGAUGGACCUGCGUUGUAUUAGCUAGUUGGUGAGGUAACGGCUCACCAAGGCAACGAUACAUAGCCGACCUGAGAGGGUGAGUGGCCACACUGGGACUGAGACACGGCCCAGACUCCUACGGGAGGCAGCAGUAGGGAAUCUUCGGCAAUGGACGGAAGUCUGACCGAGCAACGCCGCGUGAGGGAAGAAGGUUUUCGGAUCGUAAAGCUCUGUUGUAAGAGAAGAACGAGUGUGAGAGUGGAAAGUUCACAGUGUGACGGUAGCUUACCAGAAAGGGACGGCUAACUACGUG
rnacentral:rRNA from 1 species